GAUGAACGCUAGCUACAGGCUUAACACAUGCAAGUCGAGGGGCAGCAUGAAGGAAGCUUGCUUCCUUUGAUGGCGACCGGCGCACGGGUGAGUAACGCGUAUCCAACCUUCCCCAUAGUAGGGGAUAGCCCGGCGAAAGUCGGAUUAAUACCCUAUGUUCUUCAUAGAUGGCAUCUGACGUGAAGCAAAGAUUCAUCGGUAUAGGAUGGGGAUGCGUCUGAUUAGGUUGUUGGCGGGGUAACGGCCCACCAAGCCAUCGAUCAGUAGGGGUUCUGAGAGGAAGGUCCCCCACAUUGGCACUGAGACACGGACCAAACUCC
rnacentral:rRNA from 1 species